rnacentral:rRNA from 1 species
AGCUAAUACUUGCUUUAGCACUCUUGAUUUAUUUCUUGAGUGUGUACUUGUUAAGCCUUAUAAGAAAAGAGUUAUUAACUUAAGGAAUUAUAACAAAGAAGUAACACGUAAUGGAUCAUUCCAUUUUUAGUGUGUAUCAAUCGAGUUUCUGACCUAUCAGCUCUUGAUGUUAGGGUAUUGGCCUAACAUGGCUAUGACGGGUAACGGGGAAUUAGAGUUCGAUUCCGGAGAGGGAGCCUGAGAAAUAGCUACCACAUCUAAGGAAGGCAGCAGGCGCGUAAAUUACCCAAUUCUAAAGAAGAGAGGUAGUGACAAGAAAUAACAAUACAAGGCCAAUCUGGCUUUGUAAUUGGAAUGAUGGGAAUUUAAAACCUUCCCAAAAUUCAAUUGGAGGGCAAGUCUGGUGCCAGCAGCCGCGGUAAUUCCAGCUCCAAUAGCGUAUAUUAAAAUUGUUGCAGUUAAAACGCUCGUAGUUGAAUUUCAAAGAAUCGAUAUUUUAAGUAACGCUUCUAGCUACAAAUCCACAUAACUGAUGCCUCCGCGUAUCGACUUUGUGCGCAUUUUAGCUAUUAUGUGUUCUUUUAAUUAAAAUGAUUCUUUUUAAGAUUCAUCUAUUAAAAAUUAGCUUCGGCAUAAUUUUUUUUGAUGAUCUUGUUACUUUGAGUAAAUUAGAGUGUUCAAAGCAAACAGAUAUAGCAUUUGCGCGUUUGAAUACUACAGCAUGGAAUAACAAAAUUGAACAAGUCAGAAUUUUUUUGUUCUUUUUCCUUAUUUUGGCUUAGUUACGAUUAAUAGGAGUAGCUUGGGGGCAUUUGUAUUCAGAUGUCAGAGGUGAAAUUCUUAGAUUUUCUGGAGACAAACAACUGCGAAAGCAUUUGCCUAAAAUACUUCCAUUAAUCAAGAACGAAAGUUAAGGGAGUGAAGACGAUCAGAUACCGUCGUAAUCUUAACCAUAAACUAUGCCGACUAGGCUUUGGAUGAAAGAUUUUAAAAUAAGAGUUUU